rnacentral:rRNA from 1 species
AACGAACGCUGGCGGCAUGCCUAACACAUGCAAGUCGAACGAGACCUUCGGGUCUAGUGGCGCACGGGUGCGUAACACGUGGGAAUCUGCCCUUUGCUUCGGAAUAACAGUUAGAAAUGACUGCUAUUACCGGAUGAUGUCGAAAGACCAAAGAUUUAUCGGCAAAGGAUGAGCCCGCGUAGGAUUAGGUAGUUGGUGGGGUAAAGGCCUACCAAGCCGACGAUCCUUAGCUGGUCUGAGAGGAUGAUCAGCCACACUGGGACUGAGACACGGCCCAGACUCCUACGGGAGGCAGCAGUGGGGAAUAUUGGACAAUGGGCGAAAGCCUGAUCCAGCAAUGCCGCGUGAGUGAUGAAGGCCUUAGGGUUGUAAAGCUCUUUUACCAGGGAUGAUAAUGACAGUACCUGGAGAAUAAGCUCCGGCUGACUCCGUG